AGGAAACAAACUAGAUAUAAGAACUGAGAAGACCAUUUUACAUGGAAGCAUGAAACCUUUGAAUGUUGUUACCCCAGGCAGUCACCCAGUUUGAGGAAUUGGUUGGUAUGGCAGAGACCUUGCUUAAGGGUGGAGGGACCAUGUCCACAUCUGCAUCCACCCUUUGGAGAGCAACGAACAACUCCUCACCAGAUUCAUUAGCCUCAACGUGCAGCAAUUCUAAUUCUAAUUCCAGUUCACCAGUUUCCUUGAAAGCUGAAGAAGAGCAUCAUACUGAGGAGAAACAGGUCAGUUG